UCUGCCCCUAGAUCCCUUUCUUAGCGAUAUUUUCCAACUCUGCCGCUCCUGGUCUACCGCACCAUCGUCCCCGCUAGCCUCCCCAUCUAGGCCAUCGUCCCUGAUCCUCUCCGGCCGCCAUGAAAUUGAGGUAGUUGUCAUCGACCUUGUUGGGAACAUCGUGUCCCCACUCGAUGUACAGGCGGAGUCCGGCAUGAGAGAGAUAGCGGCAUCCUUGCCAAGUCCGGCGAAGUUCACGAUCUCCAUGUCCUGGCCGAGUCGGACACCGCCUCCUUCCAUCUUGAUCGUGGCCGAAGACAGCAGUGUCGUCCCCCUGCCUGGCAUGCCUAUGGUUCGUGAAUCUAAGGCGUGUGCGCCCCGCUCAGCCUCGUGCAUGUGACCGCCAUUGUUGAUGGGUCCAGCGUCAUGCGUGAGCAAGGUUAUAUUGCAGGGCGAGGACGGUGUCCGGGAGGACGGUGGGAAGUUCAUGGCUUGCGUUGGGGGAGAUCGUCGUGUUGUUCUGUAUGUGCCAGGCUAUGGCAUGGAGUGAAGUGGAACAAUUCGUCACAAUGUGUUUCAACUUUGAAGUGGCUAGGAUACCCGGAAGACCCCACAUGGACGGUGGAUGAGCUCCGCCACCUCACUGCCGUCAGAGCCCCUUCUUCCACCAAUCGCACAGCCACACCGUCGGUCUCCUUUGCCCUGUGGUUGAUUUGGUCAGUACGAGGUUGCACAGGAAGGCAUUUGCCACAGUGUCUCUCGCGGAGAUCUCAGGUUCAAGCCCAUCCGAACUGCAAAAUUUUCUGAAGGUCGAUGGAAAUGAUUUUACUCGUGACGACGCUUUUCCUCCCGUCUGAUUUACCAUCAGUACCGGAUGUCGUCCCUACUACACAACAAACUGGGCAAGGCAUGUUUGGUAAUUGUCGUGCUUUAUUUUGAUGCUCAUGUUAUGAUUACUUGAGGACACAAAUGCAUACCGCAGAGCAGUCUCAUGUGUUCGACCUCCGAGUACUAUGGAUUAUCAGGUUCUUUUAGUUUGUUUCCACAUCAGUUGUGUGCAAGGAGUCUUCUUUUUUCUCUUGUACAUGAAUCUAUUUGCUUUUCUCCAAUGGUACAAUUUCUCAAGUUCAACAAGAGUGUGGUUAGUGCCUUUUAUCCAUUCUAUCAAAAAAUGGAUCGGGCUCUACUAUCGAAAGCGAUAACAGAACAAAACAAGAAAAAUCAACGAGGAGAGAGGGAGAAGUUGGCCAGCAUGGGGUCAUGAGUGGUACAAACAGGAAGAUGCAUGCCCAUAGUUCGUCAGUUUACCUUGGAUUUUUCAGUUUUUUCUCAUCUCAUAAUUACUAUCUUUUAUUUAUGUGUUACUGCAGUUAAGCUUCUUUAUGUUUUCUUCCUUCCCACUUUAGGCCUCUUGUGCACCUUUAUUUUGUUUUGGUGUUUAUUAGGUGCCAAUGUCUUAGGACAAUACUUUGAUACAUGGAUUUAUUCCGGCAUUCUAAUUUUGAAACCUUUGUGCCACUGUGUUCAUUGCUUCACCUUAAUGGAUGUAAUAUAAACUCUUACUGAAAAACUGGUGUGAUGAUGGAGGAAUGGACGUCAAUUUAAAGCUGCGUAUUAUUCAGCUUGAUUCAUUGGUCAGGAUUUUUGAAUAUAUGGCUUGUAAUUCCAGUGACCAAGAACUUAAUUCAUAUUCUAAAAAUUGAAGGGGAGGUAGGGGAAUAUUGCCAAUCAUGUCCAGAAAUAAUGCUCAUUUUUUUAUUCCAGUCGAUGUAUUUCUUGUGUGUCUCAUUGAUUGAGUAUUUGCGUUGGAACUAAGUAUAUUAGUGUCUUGGAAUUUGCUCUAUGCUUUAUUCACUUGUCAUUGCUAUGUACAAGGCAUACAUUUAUAUUUGGCUUACAGAUUCUUUGUACAUAUCGUCGCACUUCGUGUUUUAUACUGACUGUGGUACCUCUUGAAAUGGGCGCUGAGAUGGCCAUCGACAUUUGCACAUCGCCAUACCUGAGGCAUGAGGACGUCGCCGCCCGGUUCAUCAUUGCUGAUGGGAUCGGCACAAGGCGAGUCAAAUCAAUCUUGUGAAGAAUCUAUUGUUUGCUCCAGUGGCAGGGAUGUUGGUGGCACGAAGUUGUUUAGUAACAGGACGUUCUAAACUAGAGAUUUGAGUUGAAGCACACGAGGAGUUCCUAUCAUCGAUGCUAGCCGUAAAGUUGAAUGCAUAUGUUGGUUUCACAAUUACAUGAUGAUGAGGAUGGAGCUGUCCUUCCAACAAUUGUCUCGAUAACUGAUAGGUAGUAACACUUCAAGCACGAAAUCAGCAUUGCAACGCGCCUGAAUUAUGUAUGGCAUCCGCCCAUGUCCAUAAUUGGAACCUUUGAUAAUUAGAAGAUGCCUGGUACAAUAUUUGUCCAUGUGUUGUACUUAAUUUGUACUACAACGCAAGUCACCAUAAGUUAAUGUGUGCAGUACAAUAAAAUGGAAGAACGGUUAU